rnacentral:rRNA from 1 species
CCUACGGGAGGCUGCAGUGGGGAAUAUUGGGCAAUGGGCGCAAGCCUGACCCAGCAACGCCGCGUGCAGGAAGAAGGCUUUCGGGUUGUAAACUUCUUUUCUGAGGGACGAAGAAAGUGACGGUACCUCAGGAAUAAGCCACGGCUAACUACGUGCCAGCAGCCGCGGUAAUACGGAGGUGGCAAGCGUUAUCCGGCUUUAUUGGGUGUAAAGGGCGUGUAGGCGGGAAAGAAAUUCAGAUGUUAAAACUCAGGGCUCAACCCUGAGCCUGCAUUUGAAACUGUUUUUCUUGAGUGCUGGAGAGGCAAUCGGAAUUCCGUGAGUAGCGGGGAAAUGCGUAGAUAUACGGAGGAACACCAGUGGCGAAGGCGGAUUGCUGGACAGUAACUGACGCUGAGGCGCGAAAGCGUGGGGAGCAAACAGGAUUAGAUACCCCAGUAGUC